GACGAACGCUGGCGGCGUGCUUAACACAUGCAAGUCGAACGGAAAGGCCCUGCUUGCAGGGUACUCGAGUGGCGAACGGGUGAGUAACACGUGGGUGAUCUGCCCUGCACUUCGGGAUAAGCCUGGGAAACUGGGUCUAAUACCGGAUAGGAGCCAUUUUUAGUGUGAUGGUAGGAAAGUUUUUUCGGUGUAGGAUGAGCUCGCGGCCUAUCAGCUUGUUGGUGGGGUAAUGGCCUACCAAGGCGGCGACGGGUAGCCGGCCUGAGAGGGUGGACGGCCACAUUGGGACUGAGAUACGGCCCAGACUCCUACGGGAGGCAGCAGGGGGGAAUAUUGCACAAUGGGCGCAAGCCUGAUGCAGCGACGCCGCGUGGGGGAUGACGGCCUUCGGGUUGUAAACUCCUUUCGCUAGGGACGAAGCUUUUUGUGACGGUACCUAGAUAAGAAGCACCGGCUAACUACGUG
rnacentral:rRNA from 1 species